rnacentral:rRNA from 1 species
CCUACGGGAGUCAGCAGUGGGGAAUAUUGGACAAUGGGGGCAACCCUGAUCCAGCCAUGCCGCGUGUGUGAAGAAGGCCCUCGGGUUGUAAAGCACUUUCAGUGAGGAAGAACGCCUGGUGGUUAAUACCCAUCAGGAAAGACAUCACUCACAGAAGAAGCACCGGCUAACUCCGUGCCAGCAGCCGCGGUAAUACGGAGGGUGCGAGCGUUAAUCGGAAUUACUGGGCGUAAAGCGCGCGUAGGUGGCUUGAUAAGCCGGUUGUGAAAGCCCCGGGCUCAACCUGGGAACGGCAUCCGGAACUGUCAAGCUAGAGUGCAGGAGAGGAAGGUAGAAUUCCCGGUGUAGCGGUGAAAUGCGUAGAGAUCGGGAGGAAUACCAGUGGCGAAGGCGGCCUUCUGGACUGACACUGACACUGAGGUGCGAAAGCGUGGGUAGCAAACAGGAUUAGAUACCCCGGUAGUC